UAAGGAAUAUUGGUCAAUGGGCGGAAGCCUGAACCAGCCAUCCCGCGUGCAGGAUGAAGGCCCUAUGGGUUGUAAACUGCUUUAGACUGAGAAGAAACCCCUCAAUGCGUUGGGGGCUGACGGUAUCAGUAGAAUAAGCACCGGCUAACUCCGUGCCAGCAGCCGCGGUAAUACGGAGGGUGCAAGCGUUAUCCGGAAUCACUGGGUUUAAAGGGUGCGUAGGCGGCUUGAUAAGUCAGAGGUGAAAGCCCGCAGCUUAACUGCGGAACUGCCUUUGAUACUGUUGAGCUUGAAACAGGACGAGGUUGGCGGAAUGUGGCAUGUAGCGGUGAAAUGCAUAGAUAUGCCAUAGAACACCGAUUGCGAAGGCAGCUGGCUAGACCUGAUUUGACGCUGAGGC
rnacentral:rRNA from 1 species